rnacentral:rRNA from 1 species
GAUGAACGCUGGCGGCGUGCCUAAUACAUGCAAGUCGAGCGGACGGACGAGAAGCUUGCUGCUCGGAUGUUAGCGGCGGACGGGGGAGUAACACGUGGAUAACCUACCUAUAAGACUGGGAGAACAUCGGGAAACCGGAGCUAAUACCGGAUAAUAUUUUGAACCGCAGGGUUCAAAAGUGAAAGACGGUCUUGCUGUGACUUAUAGAGGGAUCCGCGCUGCAUUAGCUAGUUGGUAAGGUAACGGCUUACAAAGGCAACGAUGCAUAGCCGCCCUGAGAGGGUGAUCGGCCACCAUGGAACUGAGACACGGUCCAGACUCCUACGGGAGGCAGCAGUAGUGAAUCUUCCGCCAUAGGCGGAGGCCUGCCGGAGCAACGCCGCCUCGGUGGUGAAGGUCUUCUGAUCGUAGAACUCUGUUAUUAGGAAAGAACAUAGGUGUAAGUAUCUGUGCGCAUCUUGACGGUACCUAAUCAGAAAGCCCCGGCUAACUACGUG